rnacentral:rRNA from 1 species
UACGGAGGAUGCAAGCGUUAUCCGGAAUGAUUGGGCGUAAAGCGUCCGCAGGUGGCUGUGUAAGUCUGCUGUCAAAGAGCGAAGCUCAACUUCGUAAAGGCAGUGGAAACUACAAGGCUAGAGUACGUUCGGGGCAGAGGGAAUUCCUGGUGUAGCGGUGAAAUGCGUAGAGAUCAGGAAGAACACCAGUGGCGAAGGCGCUCUGCUAGGCCGUAACUGACACUGAGGGACGAAAGCUAGGGGAGCGAACAGG